UGACUGUUUCUAUUGGUUUCAUCCAGGGCUAUGACGCAACCAAUCAGUGCUUUACAUGCUUAGAAGGCAACCAAAAGAAGGCUUUUGCACUGGCGAUGAGAGGUUGCAGUGUUGCAGUUAAUGUUCAAAUUGGACAUAGGUGCUAAGUUCAUGGAAUUCCAAUAAGUUCCUCAUCUCUAAUCC